GCUAUAUUGGCAGAAAAGUGCAAUGAAUUUAGAAUUCAUUUAUGUAAUUUAAUUACAUAUAGUA
rnacentral:tRNA from 1 species